rnacentral:rRNA from 1 species
CAACGCGUAUGCAACCUACCUUUUACUGGGGGAUAGCCCGGAGAAAUCUGGAUUAAUACCCCAUGGUAUCUACGAAUCGAAUGUUUUGUAGCUUAAAGAUUUAUCGGUAAAAGAUGGGCAUGCGUCUGAUUAGCUAGUUGGCGGGGUAACGGCCCACCAAGGCGACGAUCAGUAGGGGUUCUGAGAGGAAGGUCCCCCACACUGGCACUGAGAUACGGGCCAGACUCCUACGGGAGGCAGCAGUAGGGAAUAUUGGGCAAUGGUCGCAAGACUGACCCAGCCAUGCCGCGUGCAGGAAGACGGCCCUCUGGGUUGUAAACUGCUUUUAUCUGGGAAGAAAAAGUCCAUGCGUGGAAAAUUGCCGGUACCAGAUGAAUAAGCACCGGCUAACUCCGUGCCAGCAGCCGCGGUAAUACGGAGGGUGCAAGCGUUGUCCGGAUUUAUUGGGUUUAAAGGGUGCGUAGGCGGCUGAAUAAGUCAGCGGUGAAAGACUUCGGCUUAACCGGAGCAGUGCCGUUGAUACUGUUUAGCUUGAGUGUUGGAGGGGUACAUGGAAUUGAUGGUGUAGCGGUGAAAUGCAUAGAUACCAUCAGGAACACCGAUAGCGAAGGCAUUGUACUGGCCAACAACUGACGCUGAGGCACGAAAGUGUGGGGAUCGAACAGGAUUAGAUACCCUGGUAGUCCACACUGUAAACGAUGAUUACUCGCUGUUAUGGUGUAUACUGUAGCGGCCAAGCGAAAGCGUUAAGUAAUCCACCUGGGGAGUACGC